rnacentral:rRNA from 1 species
ACGGAAGCAGCAGUGGGGAAUAUUGCACAAUGGGCGAAAGCCUGAUGCAGCGACGCCGCGUGAGCGAAGAAGUAUUUCGGUAUGUAAAGCUCUAUCAGCAGGGAAGAUAAUGACGGUACCUGACUAAGAAGCACCGGCUAAAUACGUGCCAGCAGCCGCGGUAAUACGUAUGGUGCAAGCGUUAUCCGGAUUUACUGGGUGUAAAGGGAGCGUAGGCGGUUUUACAAGUCUGAUGUGAAAGCCCGGGGCUCAACUCCGGUAUUGCAUUGGAAACUGUAGAACUAGAGUGUCGGAGGGGUAAGUGGAAUUCCUAGUGUAGCGGUGAAAUGCGUAGAUAUUAGGAGGAACACCAGUGGCGAAGGCGGCUUACUGGACGAUUACUGACGCUGAGGCUCGAAAGCGUGGGGAGCAAACAGGAUUAGAUACCCUGGUA